GGGCGGGGCCCUCAUAGAGGGCCCUCUACUAGGGCAGUACAGAAGGGAAAUGUGGGUUGGAGCCCCAACACAGAGCCCCACUGGGGACACUGCCUAGUGGAGCUUUGAGAAGAGGGCCACCAUUCUCCAGACCCCAGAAUGGUAGACCCACUGACAGCUUGCACUAUGCACUUGGAAAAGACACAGACACUCAACACCAGCCCAUGAAAGCAGCCAGAAGGGAGGCUGUACCCUGCACAGCUACAGGGGCAGAGCUGCCCAAGACCAUGGGAACCCAACUGUUGCAUCAGCAUGACCCAGAUGUGAGAAUUGGAGUCAAAGAAGAUCAUUUUGGAGCUUUAAGAUUUGACUGUCCUUCUAGAUUUUGGACUUACAUGAGAUGAUAAAACAUCAGUUGAAGAAGUUCAUUUGGGUAAAGAGAUGGAUAAUAUUUGGAUAUACAUGAACUCUUGGACCAUCAUCAAUAGCUUUGUUCUAUAUUAAGGCAUAAGGACAGAUGCUGAUACCAUCUCCUUUACAAGGUCAUUUUGUUACUGUCAGUGGUCAGCAUAUCUACUGCGUUGUUGUGAACCAGGAUGACGUAUUGUUAAGGCAAUUAUCCGUGUUGAAGAGAAACACGUCGCUGCUGCUUGCUUGAUGUGGCUGCAACAACAAAGCUGUUUUGACUACUCUAGGACCCCAGCCUUGCUGCUCUGCCCAUUGACCUCUGCCACCCUCCAUACCGGGUGUGAGUUACCACCAGAAGAAGUCUGUGGCAGCAGCAGUCUUUGCCUUAUUCUGACAGUGCCAAAGUGUGUUUGGUGGGUGACUCAGCUGAGUUGAGCCUCUUGCCAACUCCCAACACAGGUGCAGAGUGCAUCUGAGCAUGGAGGUUCUUGACUCUUAUGACAUGAAAAGUGCAAUGUGAACAUAAAAUUGUGAAUGAUGUGACUAUUCCAAAAACACAAACAGACACUGGCAAGGAUCUGUUUUGCCAACAAAGCUACACAACUGCAGCAGAAAAGCUCCAUGGAGGAAAAACUACAGUGCAAAUAAAGGUUUCCAGCCGUCAAUGAUGCUAGCAAAGUGGAGGAAGGGUCACAGUAGGUCCCUCAGAAAGCUUCCCCAGCCACUUUCAUGAAAUUAACACCCUUGACCAUUUUCUCUUCCAAAAAGUAAGGAUUUUCUCUUUAAUGUCUCAUGCCUCUUCCAGCUUUAUUACUCUGUGAUUAUGUGUUCAUUUUUAAGGCAUAAUAAAUGUGAAAAAAAUGAGAUUGAUUUGAGUUUACUUUUUCUAAAAGUUCAUUCUAGAUGCAAUAAAUGAAGUUAGACAGUAAAACUCAGUAAAAAUGCUUUAUAAUAUAUGUAUAUAUGCUCUUUAAGAAAAAUUGCUUAACAUUUUUACCUCUUAAUUUGCUUUCGUGAUUCCAUGCAUUUUGUUGUACUUAUCAUGGCAAAAUUUAUUUGUGAAGUAUAUAUCAGAAAGCCUUGCUCUAUGAUCAACAAACUUUGGUUAACUUUUAACUUUCAACAUAACAUUAGAUAUUCACCUCUCCAUUUGUUCAGAGUUAAAUUGUCAUUACUCAUUUGCUUUUUUAUCUAAAUUAAGAUUUUCUUUAAGUCAACACAAUAAACGCCAUAUAUGCCAAGCCCACAGCUAACAUCAUAUUCAACCAUGAAAAGCUGAAACAUUAUCCUCUAAGAUCAGGAAGAAGACAAAUAUGCCCACUUUCCCUUUUUCUGUCAACACUGAAAGGGAAGUCUAACCCCGAGAAAUUAGGUAAGAGAAAAAAACUACAGGCAUCUAAACUGGAAUAGUAGUUAAACUGUCCUUGCUUGCAGACACAUGAUCUUACAUAUAGAAAACUCUAGGCCGGGCGCAGUGGCUCACGCCUGUAAUCCCUGCACUUUGGGAGGCCAAGGUGGG
rnacentral:lncRNA from 10 species